GUACCAAGUACAAUGAAUUCAAAUUAACUUUCGAUUGUAAAGACAGCGACUUUUUCUCGUGGGAGUCGUGGGUUGUUGCCAUUUUACGCCCGCCAUUGAGGUUGCGGCCUACACUCACACGCAACUAUAAAAUCUCCAUUGCAGCCGCGAUUGAAAUUCAAUCUUUAAAUCAUCACAUUAUCAGAUUCCAGUAUUAUUCCCUUUUGUUUCAUGUGGGCAAUUGAUAUUGAAGUGGAAGUGAGAGCCUCAUUGUGAAGUAUAUAAAUUGUUUGUUUUCGUCGAAAAAAGGACCAAUGAAUACUUCAGAGGCAGUUCUACGGGUUCUGGGCAGCGGUGUGCCUGGCCUAUUCGGGUCUGAUCAAUGUUUUAGGGCAUCAGGCCAAGGACAUCCUUCUGGUUCCUUGCUAAACUUGAGAAAUAAAAGAGGCUUAAAAUAUAUGAAAAUGCUCAAAUGUUCGAACCAUUUAUACCUUAACAUAAACAGUCGGUCAUUUAUGGGGGGUUGUCGGAGAGAUUUGCAUGGAUUUGGUACCGGCCCUCUAAGGCGGAUGUGCUACAACUGCCAAAAAGCGGAUAGUGUAAGCGGGAUUGCAGCAGAAAAUGGGAAUGGAGCAUUGUUUGUAGAUAAUACUAAGGGAUUUGACACGGCUCGUGAGGAUUUUGUGUCCAAUGGAAGCUUACAAACGAAUGGAACAAUUCGGGACACUAGCAACGGGAAGAUUAGUAGCCCGUUUGUGGAUGAGGCAUGGGAACUAUUGAAGGAGUCGGUUGUUUACUAUUGUGGCAACCCCGUAGGAACAAUUGCUGCAAAGGACCCAACUGCUUCUGAUGUUAGUGUUCUGAACUACGAUCAAGUCUUUAUCCGUGACUUUAUACCUUCUGGCAUAGCUUUUCUGUUGAAGGGAGAGUACGAUAUUGUUCGGAACUUCAUCCUUCAUACGCUUCAGCUUCAGAGCUGGGAGAAAACAAUGGAUUGUCACAGUCCCGGUCAGGGGUUAAUGCCCGCCAGUUUCAAAGUCCGUACAAUUCCUAUGGAUGGUGAUGACUCUGCAACGGAAGAGGUGCUGGAUCCCGACUUUGGAGAGGCCGCAAUUGGCCGUGUCGCACCAGUUGAUUCCGGACUAUGGUGGAUUAUUUUGUUACGUGCGUAUGGAAAAUGUUCGGGUGAUCUCUCGCUUCAGGAGAGAGUGGAUGUUCAGACUGGAAUUAAGAUGAUACUCAGGCUAUGUCUUGCUGAUGGAUUUGAUAUGUUCCCGACAUUGUUGGUCACCGAUGGUUCGUGCAUGAUAGAUCGGCGUAUGGGAAUUCAUGGUCACCCGUUAGAGAUUCAGGCGCUUUUCUAUUCUGCAUUACUCGGUGCACGAGAAAUGCUCACACCCGAGGAUAGUUCAGCUGAACUUAUUCGAGCAUUGAACAAUCGUCUUGUUGCUUUAUCGUUCCAUAUAAGGGAAUAUUAUUGGACCGAUAUGAAAAAACUAAAUGAGAUAUACCGUUACAAUACAGAAGAGUACUCGUACGAUGCUGUUAACAAGUUCAACAUCUACCCUGAUCAGAUUCCCCAUUGGCUGGUUGAGUGGAUGCCGAAUAAAGGAGGUUAUCUAAUUGGAAACUUGCAACCUGCUCACAUGGAUUUCCGGUUCUUUUCUCUCGGGAACUUGUGGUCUAUAGUCAGCAGUCUUGCCACGGCCGAUCAGUCACAUGCCAUAUUAGAUCUCGUCGAAACCAAAUGGGCUGAUUUGGUAGCAGGCAUGCCGGUCAAAAUAUGUUACCCUGCUCUUGAAGGUCAGGAGUGGCAGAUCAUCACAGGGUGUGAUCCCAAGAACACGCCUUGGUCUUACCACAAUGGAGGUUCUUGGCCAACUUUGCUCUGGCAGCUUACGGUGGCUUGCAUUAAGAUGAAUCGGCCAGACAUUGCAGCAAGAGCUGUUGAAGUUGCCGAGAAACGCUUAGCGCAAGACAACUGGCCCGAAUACUACGACACCAAAAGUGCGAGGUUCAUUGGAAAACAGGCUCGCCAAUUCCAAACUUGGUCAAUUGCCGGAUACCUCGUUUCAAAACAACUGCUUUCCGACCCCAGUUUAGCCAAGAUUCUGAUUACCGAAGAGGACUCCGAGCUUGUCAACGCUUUCUCUUGUGCCAUCAGUUCAAACCCCAGGAAGAAAAAACGAGGCCCAAAAAGUUCCCAGAAGACCUACAUCGUAUAAGUUCUGAGCCGUAUGAUUCACACAGUUUUCGUCAAUCAACAGUUCAUCUAUGACUGCUGUAUUGCACAUUUGUACAGUUCGGGUUUGCGGGAUUUAAGAGUAGAGACGAUAUAAUCUCUAGUAUAUAGUAGCUUCUUUAAGUGGAACUAUAGUGUUCUUGCCAUUUAUAAAGGACAUAAGAUCCACUACUGUUUUAUCUUGUAUUCUCUUAGAGCUCUUAUUGUGAUAUAUGUAUUUGAGUUUGGGACUUUGGGUAUAUAAGUGAUUACACCGGUGAAUAUUCUACUCA